rfam:Gossypium arboreum cultivar AKA8401 contig_1919_5, whole genome shotgun sequence.
GAAAGCCGUGUGCAAUGAAAAAUGCAAGCACGGUUUGGGGAGGGAUUUUUUUUUUCUCUUAAAUUUCAAUUUAUUUAAU